rnacentral:rRNA from 1 species
GACGAACGCUGGCGGCGUGCCUAAUACAUGCAAGUAGAACGCUGAAGGAGGAGCUUGCUUCUCUGGAUGAGUUGCGAACGGGUGAGUAACGCGUAGGUAACCUGCCUGGUAGCGGGGGAUAACUAUUGGAAACGAUAGCUAAUACCGCAUAAUAGUAGAUGUUGCAUGACAUUUGCUUAAAAGGUGCAAUUUCAUCACUACCAGAUGGACCUGCGUUGUAUUAGCUAGUUGGUGGGGUAACGGCUCACCAAGGCGACGAUACAUAGCCGACCUGGGAGGGUGAUCGGCCACACUGGGACUGAGACACGGCCCAGACCCCUACGGGAGGCAGCAGUAGGGAAUCUUCGGCAAUGGACGGAAGUCUGACCGAGCAACGCCGCGUGAGGGAAGAAGGGUUUCGGAUCGUAAAGCUCUGUUGUAAGAGAAGAACGAGUGUGAGAGUGGAAAGUUCACACUGUGACGGUAUCUUAACAGAAAGGGACGGCUAACUACGUG